UACGAAGGGGGCUAGCGUUGUUCGGAAUUACUGGGCGUAAAGCGUGCGCAGGCGGCUUCUCAAGUCAGGGGUGAAAGCCCAGAGCUCAACUCUGGAACUGCCUUUGAGACUGAGAGGCUUGAGUACGGGAGAGGUGAGUGGAAUUCCCAGUGUAGAGGUGAAAUUCGUAGAUAUUGGGAAGAACACCGGUGGCGAAGGCGGCUCACUGGCCCGAAACUGACGCUCAUGCACGGACAGCGUGGGGAUCAAACAGG
rnacentral:rRNA from 1 species